GGCGGACGGGUGAGUAACACGUGGGCACCUGCCUGAGAGUGCAGAAUAAUCCCUGCGAAAGCAGAGCUAAUACUGCAUGUGGUUGUCGGAUGGCAUCAUCUGACAACUAAAUGUCGCAAGACGCUCUCAGAUGGGCCCGCGGCCUAUUAGCUAGUUGGUGAGGUAACGGCCCACCAAGGCAAUGAUGGGUAGCUGGUCUGAGAGGACGGACAGCCACACUGGGACUGAGACACGGCCCAGACUCCAAACGGGAGGCAGCAGUGAGGAAUUUUCCGCAAUGGGCGAAAGCCUGACGGAGCAACGCCGCGUGAGGGAUGAAGUCUCUAGGGAUGUAAACCUCUGUUGGGAGGGACGAAGGUCUGACGGUACCUCCUGAGGAAGCCCCGGCUAACUACGUGCC
rnacentral:rRNA from 1 species